rnacentral:rRNA from 1 species
UACGGGGGGGGGCAAGCGUUUGUUCGGAAUUACUGGGCGUAAAGGGUUCGUAGGUGGCCAACUAAGUCAGACGUGAAAUCCCUCAGCUUAACUGGAGGAUCUGCGUCUAGACUGGAUGGCUUGAGUGCAGGAGAGGAACGCGGAAUUCCAGGUGUAGCGGUGAAAUGCGUAGAUAUCUGGAGGAACACCGGUGGCGAAGGCGGCGUUCUGGACUGCUACUGACACUGAGGAACGAAAGCCAGGGGAGCAAACGGG